UUCAAAUAAUUACUGAUUAAUUUAGUUCAAUAAUUGAACUUCAAUUGUUUUCCUUCAUUGAUUAAUUGCUGAUUAACCUUUUUAAUCUUAUUUCUAGUUAAUUGUUCUCUGUUUCUGUUUAAGGAUGAAUGAACACUUUAGAGGUCCAAAGGAUUCCAUUGAUUUACUUAAUCGCGCCUUCGCUGAGAUUGGAUUGGAUUUACCAACUAUUCAAUCAGGAUGAAUUCAAUUGAUGACGAUGAUACAUUCCUGUUCACCUCUGAAUCUGUGGGAGAGGGACAUCCAGGUAAAUUAUUAACAACUAAAUCAAUUUGAUGAUCACAAAUUUUUGGUUUGUUUUUGUUUUCAAUCUAAUUGAAUCCAUGGAAACCAAUUGUUUAUUUUAAUUCAUCAACAUUGUUAACAAUAAUAUCUGAUUUAUUAAGAGUUUUAAUUGUUGAGUAAAUUAUUAUUCUUGUUUUUUAUUCACUCGUUUAAAUUAUUAGGAAACAAAUAAUUAUGAAACGUGUACUCACUAUACCUGAACGAACCCAUGGUUCGGGUCCUGUGUUCAUAAUUUGGCAGCCGAAUAAAGCAAGUUACCUGGUUACAAUGGGCUAUGAUAAUACGGUGAUAGUUCAUGAUUGACAUGGAAAUAAAAUCGAUACAAUUAAUUUACCAGGUCAGUGUACUGGACUUUCAUGGAAUGUUGAAGGUAAUAUUUUAGGUGCAAUUAGUGGUAAAUCACCGAUAAUUUACCUUUGGGAUUCGAGUGUCCAUAAGAUGUCUAGAGUUGACACCGAUGUUCGUGACAUGUUAACCAUGUUGGUUUGGU